rnacentral:rRNA from 1 species
GACGAACGCUGGCGGCGUGCUUAACACAUGCAAGUCGAACGGAAAGGCCCUGCUUUUGUGGGGGGCUCGAGUGGGAAACGGGUGAGUAAACCGUGAGAAACCUGCCCUUGCCUUUGGGAUACCUCCGGGAAACUGGGGCAAAUACCGGAUAGGAGCUCCUGCGGCAGGGGGGGGGUUGGAAGGUUUCGGCGGUUGGGGAUGGACUCGCGGCUUAUCAGCUUGUUGGUGGGGUAGUGGCUUACCAAGGCUUUGACGGGUAGCCGGCCUGAGAGGGUGACCGGCCACAUUGGGACUGAGAUACGGCCCAGACUCCUACGGGAGGCAGCAGUGGGGAAUAUUGCACAAUGGGCGGAAGCCUGAUGCAGCAACGCCGCGUGCGGGAUGACGGCCUUCGGGUUGUAAACCGCUUUCGCCUGUGACGAAGCGUGAGUGACGGUAAUGGGUAAAGAAGCACCGGCUAACUACGUG